UCCCAGUGAGGAAACAUGUCUUAACUCCUUUCCCAGUCCCAGAGCCUGUAAAGGUGAACACACCGGGGCUAGCUGGGGGAGAAGAGGAAAGUUUGUUCCAGAAGGAACUUUCUGAAGGAU